AGUCAGGCUGCUGGCUAUACACCA
rnacentral:miRNA from 1 species